CCUACGGGUGGCAGCAGUGGGGAAUAUUGCACAAUGGGGGAAACCCUGAUGCAGCAACGCCGCGUGAGUGAAGAAGUAUUUCGGUAUGUAAAGCUCUAUCAGCAAGGAAGCAGAUGACGGUACCUGAAUAAGAAGCCCCGGCUAACUACGUGACAGCAGCCGAAGUAAUACGUAGGGGGCAAGCGUUAUACGGAUGUACUGGGUGUAAAGGGGGCGCAGGCGGCAGUGCAAGUGGGGAGGUAAAGCCCGGGGCCCAACCCCGGAACUGCUCUGGAAACUGUGCGGCUAGAGUGCUGGAGGGGCAGGCGGAAUGCCUAGUGUAGCGGUGAAAUGCGUAGAUAUUAGGAGGAACACCAGUGGCGAAGGCGGCCUGCUGGACAGUAACUGACGUUGAGGCUCGAAAGCGUGGGGAGCAAACAGGAUUAGAUACCCGUGUAGUC
rnacentral:rRNA from 1 species